UAGCGAUGAUUAGGCAGCUUUUCAACUGCA
rnacentral:piRNA from 2 species